rnacentral:rRNA from 1 species
UGGGGAAUAUUGCACAAUGGGCGCAAGCCUGAUGCAGCCAUGCCGCGUGUGUGAAGAAGGCCUUCGGGUUGUAAAGCACUUUCAGCGAGGAGGAAGGUGGUGAGCUUAAUACGCUCAUCAAUUGACGUUACUCGCAGAAGAAGCACCGGCUAACUCCGUGCCAGCAGCCGCGGUAAUACGGAGGGUGCAAGCGUUAAUCGGAAUUACUGGGCGUAAAGCGCACGCAGGCGGUUUGUUAAGUCAGAUGUGAAAUCCCCGGGCUCAACCUGGGAACUGCAUUUGAAACUGGCAAGCUAGAGUCUCGUAGAGGGGGGUAGAAUUCCAGGUGUAGCGGUGAAAUGCGUAGAGAUCUGGAGGAAUACCGGUGGCGAAGGCGGCCCCCUGGACGAAGACUGACGCUCAGGUGCGAAAGCGUGGGGCAGCAAACAGGAUUAGAUACCCUGGUAGUCCACGCUGUAAACGAUGUCGAUUUGGAGGUUGUGCCCCUUGAGGCGUGGNUUCCGGAGCUAACGCGCUAAAUCGACCGCCUGGGGAGUACGGCCGCAAGGUUAAAACUUAAAGGAAUUG